rnacentral:rRNA from 1 species
AUUGAACGCUGGCGGCAUGCCUUACACAUGCAAGUCGAACGGUAACGCGGGGCAACCUGGCGACGAGUGGCGAACGGGUGAGUAAUGCAUCGGAACGUGCCUGGUAGUGGGGGAUAACUGCUCGAAAGAGCAGCUAAUACCGCAUACGACCUGAGGGUGAAAGGGGGGGAUCGCAAGACCUUGCGUUAUACGAGCGGCCGAUGUCAGAUUAGCUAGUUGGUGAGGUAAAGGCUCACCAAGGCGACGAUUUGUAGCGGGUCUGAGAGGAUGAUCCGCCAGACUGGGACUGAGACACGGCCCAGACGCCUACGGGAGGCAGCAGUGGGGAAUUUUGGACAAUGGGGGCAACCCUGAUCCAGCCAUGCCGCGUGAGUGAAGAAGGCCUUCGGGUUGUAAAGCUCUUUCGGCCGGGAAGAAAUCGCACAGGCUAAUACUCUGUGUGGAUGACGGUACCGGCAUAAGAAGCACCGGCUAACUACGUGCCAGCCGCCGCAGUAAGAC